GCUUGUCUCAAAGAUUAAGCCAUGCAUGUCUAAGUAUAAAUCUUUUACUUUGAAACUGCGAACGGCUCAUUAUAUCAGUUAUAGUUUAUUUGAUAGUCCCUUACUACUUGGAUAACCGUAGUAAUUCUAGAGCUAAUACAUGCGUCAAUACCCUUCUGGGGUAGUAUUUAUUAGAUUGAAACCAACCGCUUCGGCGUGAUGUGGUGAUUCAUAAUAAAUUUGCGAAUCGCAUGGCUUUACGCCGGCGAUGGAUCAUUCAAGUUUCUGCCCUAUCAAUUUGAUGGUAGGAUAGAGGCCUACCAUGGUGGUAACGGGUGACGGAGAAUUAGGGUUCGAUUCCGGAGAGGGAGCCUGAGAAACGGCUACCACAUCCAAGGAAGGCAGCAGG
rnacentral:rRNA from 1 species